UACAGAGGUCUCGAGCGUUGUUCGGAUUCAUUGGGCGUAAAGGGCGCGUAGGCGGCGGGGUAAGUCUGGUGUGAAAUCUCGGAGCUCAACUUCGAAAUUGCACUGGAUACUGCUCUGCUAGAGGGCUGGAGAGGAGAUCGGAAUUCACGGUGUAGCAGUGAAAUGCGUAGAUAUCGUGAGGAAGACCAGUGGCGAAGGCGGAUCUCUGGACAAAUCCUGACGCUGAGGCGCGAAGGCUAGGGGAGCAAACGGG
rnacentral:rRNA from 1 species